rnacentral:rRNA from 1 species
AGCGAACGCUGGCGGCAGGCCUAACACACGCAAGUCGAACGAAACCUUCGGGCUUAGUGGCGGACGGGUGAGUAACACGUGGGAACGUACCUUUUGGUUCGGAACAACUCAGGGAAACUUGAGCUAAUACCGGAUGAGCCCUUAGGGGGAAAGAUUUAUCGCCGAAAGAGCGGCCCGCGUUAGAUUAGCUAGUUGGUGAGGUAAAGGCUCACCAAGGCUACGAUCUAUAGCUGGUCUGAGAGGAUGACCAGCCACACUGGGACUGAGACACGGCCCAGACUCCUACGGGAGGCAGCAGUGGGGAAUCUUGCGCAAUGGGCGAAAGCCUGACGCAGCCAUGCCGCGUGAAUGAUGAAGGUCUUAGGAUUGUAAAAUUCUUUUACCAGGGACGAUAAUGACGGUACCUGGAGAAAAAGCCCCGGCUAACUCUGUGCCAGCCGCCGCAGUAACAC